GACGAACCGAGCGAACGUUAUUCGGAAUCACUGGGCUUAAAGGGCGCGUAGGCGGGCGAUCAAGUCAGGGGUGAAAGCCCCCAGCUCAACUGGGGAAGUGCCUUUGAUACUGGUCGUCUCGAGGGGGAUAGGGGCGUGCGGAACUUCCGGUGGAGCGGUGAAAUGCGUAGAUAUCGGAAGGAACACCGGUGGCGAAAGCGGCGCGCUGGAUCCCUUCUGACGCUGAGGCGCGAAAGCGUGGGGAGCAAACAGG
rnacentral:rRNA from 1 species